GCCAGUGUGGCAUAGUAGUUUGAGUGUUGAACUAUGACUAUGGAGACCAGGGUUCGAUUCCCAGCUUGUCC